UACGAGGGGAGCUAGCGUUGUUCGGAAUCACUGGGCGUAAAGCGCACGUAGGCGGAUGUGUCAGUCAGGGGUGAAAUCCCGGAGCUCAACUUCGGAACUGCCCUUGAUACAGCACGUCUUGAGUCCGGAAGAGGUGGGUGGAAUUCCUAGUGUAGAGGUGAAAUUCGUAGAUAUUAGGAAGAACACCGGUGGCGAAGGCGGCCCACUGGUCCGGUACUGACGCUGAGGUGCGAAAGCGUGGGGAGCAAACAGG
rnacentral:rRNA from 1 species